AGUGAACGCUGGCGGCGUGCCUAAUACAUGCAAGUCGAACGGAGUGGCUCACGGGCGAGUAAUGUAUAGCUAAUCUGCCCUACACUAGAGGACAACAGUUGGAAACGGCUGCUAAUACUCUCUAGUGUAGGUUGAGGCUAUAUUGUAUCAGCUAGUUGGUGAGGUAAUGGCUCACUAAGGCUAUGACCAAUAACUGGUCUGAGAGGAUGAUGAGUCACCCUGGAACUGAGACACGGGCCAGACUCCUCCGGAAGGCAGCAGUAGGGAAUUUUGCUCAAUGGGGGAAACCCUGAAGCAGCAACGCCGCGUGGAGGAUGACACUUUUCGGAGCGUAAACUCCUUUUGUUAGGGAAGCGGUACCUAACGAAUAAGCACCGGCUAACUCCGUGCCAGCAGCCGCGGUAAUAC
rnacentral:rRNA from 1 species